CCUACGGGUGGCAGCAGUGAGGAAUAUUGGUCAAUGGCCGUAAGGCUGAACCAGCCAAGUAGCGUGAGGGAAGACUGCCCUAUGGGUUGUAAACCUCUUUUAUGCGGGGAUAAAGGUGUCCACGUGUGGAUGUUUGCAGGUACCGCAUGAAUAAGGACCGGCUAAUUCCGUGCCAGCAGCCGCGGUAAUACGGAAGGUCCGGGCGUGAUCCGGAUUUAUUGGGUUUAAAGGGAGCGUAGGCGGGCGGUUAAGUCAGCGGUAAAAGCCCGGGGCGCAACCCCGGCGAGCCGUUGAAACUGGCUAUCUUGAGAGGACGAGAGGUAUGCGGAAUGCGCAGUGUAGCGGUGAAAUGCUUAGAUAU
rnacentral:rRNA from 1 species